rnacentral:rRNA from 1 species
CCUACGGGAGGCAGCAGUGGGGAAUAUUGGACAAUGGGCGAAAGCCUGAUCCAGCAAUGCCGCGUGAGUGAUGAAGGCCUUAGGGUUGUAAAGCUCUUUUACCCGGGAUGAUAAUGACAGUACCGGGAGAAUAAGCUCCGGCUAACUCCGUGCCAGCAGCCGCGGUAAUACGGAGGGAGCUAGCGUUGUUCGGAAUUACUGGGCGUAAAGCGUACGUAGGCGGUUAUUCAAGUCAGAGGUGAAAGCCUGGGGCUCAACUCCAGAACUGCCUUUGAAACUAGAUAGCUAGAAUCAUGGGGAGGUCAGUGGAAUUCCGAGUGUAGAGGUGAAAUUCGUAGAUAUUCGGAAGAACACCAGUGGCGAAGGCGACUGACUGGACAUGUAUUGACGCUGAGGUACGAAAGCGUGGGGAGCAAACAGGAUUAGAUACCCUGGUAGUCCACGCCGUAAACGAUGAUAACUAGCUGUUCGGACCUUUAAGGUUUGAGUGGCGCAGCUACGACAUUAAGUUAUCCGUCCGUCGGGUAGGUACGGUCGGCGAGAAGUUAAACGUUAAAGUUAAGUAAGUUAGUAACGGUCGUGUUAGAGUGUUCGACGGACGACGACGAGGGAGGAGG